rnacentral:rRNA from 1 species
AUUGAACGCUGGCGGCAGGCCUAACAAAUGCAAGUCGAACGAGUGGCGGAUGGGUGAGUAAUGUCUGGGAAACUGCCUGAUGGAGGGGGAUAACUACUGGAAACGGUAGCUAAUACCGCAUACCAUCGGAUGUGCCCAAAUGGGAUGAGUUAGUAGGGGGGGUAAAGGCUCACCUAGGCGACGAUCCCUAGCUGGUCUGAGAGGAUGACCAGCCACACUGGAACUGAGACACGGUCCAGACUCCUACGGUAGGCAGCAGUGGGGAAUAUUGCACAAUGGGCGCAAGCCUGAUGCAGCCAUGCCGCGUGUAGGAAGAAGGCCUUCGGGUUUGAAAGUACUUUCAGCGGGGAGGCGUUACCCGCAGAAGAAGCACCGGCUAACUCCGUGCCAGCAGCCGCGGUAAUAC